rnacentral:rRNA from 1 species
UACGGAGGGUGCAAGCGUUAUCCGGAUUCACUGGGUUUAAAGGGUGCGUAGGUGGGCAGUUAAGUCAGUGGUGAAAUCUCCGGGCUCAACCCGGAAACUGCCAUUGAUACUAUCUGUCUUGAAUAUCGUGGAGGUAAGCGGAAUAUGUCAUGUAGCGGUGAAAUGCUUAGAUAUGACAUAGAAAACCAAUUGAGAAGGCAGCUUACUACCCGAAUAUUGAAACUGAGGCACGAAAGCGUGGGGAUCAAACAGG